rnacentral:rRNA from 1 species
AAAGGAAUAGACGGGGGCCCGCACAAGCGGAGGAACAUGUGGUUUAAUUCGAUGAUACGCGAGGAACCUUACCUGGGUUUAAAUGGGAAAUGACAGGUCUGGAAACGGAUUUUUCCUUCGGGACAUUUUUCAAGGUGCUGCAUGGUUGUCGUCAGCUCGUGCCGUGAGGUGUCGGGUUAAGUCCCCUAACGAGCGCAACCCUUAUCUUUAGUUGCCAUCAGAUAUGCUGGGCACUCUAAAGAGACUGCCACCGUAAGGUGAGAGGAAGGCGGGGAUGACGUCAAAUCAGCACGGCCCUUACACCCAGGGCUACACACGUGUUACAAUGGCCGUUACAGAGGGCAGCUACUUAGUGAUAAGAUGCAAAUCUCGAAAAGCGGUCGUAGUUCGGAUUGGAGUCUGCAACCCGACUCCAUGAAGUUGGAUUCGCUAGUAAUCGCGCAUCAGCCAUGGCGCGGUGAAUACGUUCCCGGGCCUUGUACACACCGCCCGU